rnacentral:piRNA from 1 species
UAUCUAAUCAAUAUAACCCUGUCCUCUU